ACUAAAGUGGCAGAAGCCGAAGUGCAAUAGAGUUAAGAUCUAUUUAUAAAAUAAAUUUUUCUUUAGUA
rnacentral:tRNA from 1 species